AUACACACACACACAGCUGCCUGGAGAAAAGUGCCAAGAAAACCUUAUGAUAGGUUUGCCUUAGGAUUGCCAUAGGUCAAAAAUGACUUGGAAGCACACAACAAAACCAAGCAGAUGCAGCUGUAGUCAAGUCCCUUUACGCUUUUUUGGAGGUUUCUUCCCCUCUUUUUCUGUUUUUUUUUCCAGUUUUUGCAAAAUGGGGUUCCAGUGAGUUGACUGACACUCCCUUCUUGUGCGUGGAUGAUGCUAUUUUGGCUACAUGAUGACUGGCACUCAAAAAAGCGAGAUAGCUGUUAAUAUAUGAUGCCACAUAAAACCAUGCCAGGAAUGGUCACACACCGCCUUUCAUAUCUAGGCUUGGGUGCCUGCCUAACCAAGGUUGCAAUUAGUAACAUCCAGAUGCAUGCAAAUGUUAGUUUGCACCAGAGAUCUCUCUCCUUCCCCUAGUACCACAGUAUACUCCAAACGGUUCCCCAAAUCCUCAAGAACAGAGAUGGGGUGUUGCAGGCAAGGAAUACUCAAGAGGUGGCUUUGCCAGUUCCUUCCUCUGCAAUAAAGCCUGGUAUUUGUUGGUGGUCUUCCAUCCAAGUAAUAACCACUGCUAAUACUACUUAAUGUCCAACAUGGUGAAUGGUUGGUGGGGUGCCUGAUUUUGUACCUGUGUUGAAGCUAAGUAGAGUUAGAAAUGAGCUGUGUUGGAUGGGAAACCCCUGGAAGACCAGUGAGAAUCCAGUUGUGCUGUGGAGCACACAAACAAGAUGUAUUCGAAUUUCUAAUCCAGGCUGAGAUUGCAACCGCAAAUGUGUGAAAAAGAAGUUUUAUAAAUAAAGUUUUUAAGAAGCCAGCACACAGUUCUGUUUUGGACUUUGGAACUUUCCCAAUCAAGAAGAUGUCACAAAUAUGUACAAGACAUUGGCUGGCAGGAGUAGUGUGGAAAUAUAACACUUGCAACAGUGUCAUUAAAAAAUGUGGGGAAAUGUGGAUGGGGAAAUGUAAUGCCAUGUAAUGUAAUAAUCUUUAUUGGGUUCAUCUUACAUAUACCACACAAGAGUGUAUAGGAUUGGUCUUUUAGUAUUAAAUCCCAUAGCAGAAUAACAUCCUUCCCCUCCCGUGUGUGUGUGUGUGUAUGGUAGCUCUCUGUAUGUAUGUUUGUGUGUAUGUAUAUAAGAUCCACUUCUCUGAGGUUUCUGGGAGUAUUUCUGGGGAUAUAGUAAUCUUUUUCUGCUGCUAAGGUACUAUAGAGUAAGGUUAAAAGCACACCCACAAACAGAGUGAAUUGAUUUUGUUCACUGAAACAUCUUGUUGGAUACAUAUACAAGAAAUCACUUUUAUCAAUGCCAUUUAUACCCCUGUUCUGUGAGGUCACAGGUAGCCAUUCUUAUUUAUUUGGGCUCUUAAGUUGUAGUAAGUGCAUUGCAUAAACAUAGAUUACUAACAGCCAACAUGAAUUUCUCAAAAACCUGUUUAAAAGGCAAGUUAAACCAAUCUUAUUUCUCUUUGUUUAUAGAGUUACUCAGACAUGGUAGAUCUUGUUUUUAAUAAGCCUUUUGACAGAGUCCUCCAUGAAAUUUGUAGAGGAAAACUGUUGACUGGUGGGCUAGGCAGUGCUAUUGUUAGGUAGAUUUAUAACUUGUUGACUGUCUGAAUCUGGAAGUUGAUUGCCAAUAGCUCUUCAUCUUGGAGAGGAGUGACUAGUAGGAUAACUUUAGGUUUCUGUCAUGAGCCUGUGCUGUUCAGCAUCUUUAUAAAUGACUUAGAUGAGGGCAUGGUUCCCAAAUUUGCAGAUGACAUCAAAUUUGGUGGUGGUGGUAGCAAAACCCCCAGAGAACAGGAUCAGAAUUCAAAGUGACCUAGACAGAUUGGACAGCUUGGCCAAAACUUACAAAAUGAAUUUCAUCAGGGAUAAAUGUAAGGUACUGUGUCUAGGCAAGAAAAAUGAAAUGCAAAAAUAUAGGUUGAGUGACAACCUGACUUGAAAGCAAUAAUGUGGAAAGGAUCCAGGGGCCUUUAUAGACCACAACUUAAAAAUGAAUCAAAAGUAUAAUGUGGUGGCCAAAAAGGUGCAGUUCUUGGCUGUAUCAUUAGGAGCAUAGUGUCCAGAUCAAAGACAGUAGUAGUACCACUCUAUUCUGCUUUCAUCAGAACAUACCUCGAAUACUCUGUCCAGUUCUGGUCACCACAGUCCAAGAAGACAAGUAGCUGUGUUGGCCAUUUAACAAAUGCAAACAAAAACCCAUCAGUGGAUCUUCAGAAGCUUGCAACAAGUAUAUUGUCCAUUUUGGUUGGCCAAUAAAGGUAUCACAGUGCAAGAAGGUUAGUGACAUGGUGGAACCAAGAUGGCUGAAGGCCUGAAAACUUAGCUUAGGGAUCUGAGUAUGUUCAACUUCCAGAAGAGAAGACUGGAAGGUGAUAUGAUGGCCAUCUUUAUCUGAUAGGUGAUGCAAACUCCCUUUGCUUCUAAAGGGAUGUCAUGUAGAAGAUGAAACAGAAGAUUACUGCUGCUUCAGAGACUGGAACACAAACUAAUGGAUUGAAAUUAUAAGCAAAGAGUUCUCCUUAAAUAUUAGGAAGAAAGUCUUGAAUUUAAGAGCUGUUUGACAGUAGAACAGAUUGCCUCAGGGGGUGGUGGACUUUUUUUUUUAACAGGCUAGAUGGCAGGUUUUUUGGGGAGGUGAGAUGUUGUUUUAGUGGUGUAUUCCUGCAUUUGCAGGGUAUUGGAGUAGAUGUUCCCUGUAGUCCUUUCCAAUUUUGUGAUUAUGUGGUUCUAAAUCUUCAGCAACUCUUGGCGUAUAGCAGUGUAAUGCAGUACCUUCUCAGUCAGCCAGAACAGCUCACUCUCUCACUGAACCCUAAGGAUUGCUAUAAAUAUUCUGGUCUUUGAGUGACUCUCUUCUGUUGUUUCCCAAUCCUUGUCUUUUGAUUUGUGGGCUAGUCCUUGAUGUGAGCUGCUUUCUCAUAACCUUCUCCAGCUGCCUUUCUUGUUUCAGCUUCAGUCAGCUCUAUGAUCUUUGUCAUCCUCUGAGGCUUUGUGCUUUUCAGCCUUUGCCUUUGUGUUGGGGUCCCUCAUGACAUUCAUCUACUAACCUCUAGUGUCAGUAGGGUUCACUGUAUCUUCACUUUGCCACAGGUAGGCUCACCAUGACCUCUGUGUAACUGGUUUUGCUAUAGGAACCAAUGGUUUGGCCUCCUGACAUAUACACAAAUCCAUGUCUUUCUUUUGCUGAUUUCUGUGAGAUAGUUCUGUUUAAUGAGCUGAUAGAUUAAUAUUUAACCUUUAGACUCUAGAAAUAAAAUUAACAAAAAGUCUACAAGGCCCUUUACAGAAUAAGGCACAUAGACACACAGUUUAAAAGUAAAGCAUUUUUAUUUUAAUUUAUACCUUCCAACAUUUCACAGAUGAAAACGGGACACAUGUGGCCAAGGAACAUCAGAGGGAAGUCAAGAUGGUGAAAAUUAUUAAUGAUGAAGAACACACAAGCUAGAAGAGGCUGCAGCAGUUUGCUUUUUCCUGAAUCGAUUGGGAAGAGCAAGAUUCUAUCCUCUUCGCUCCUCUCCCUUUGCAGAGUUAAUUGAGUGCAUACUAUUUGUGCACUUUGAGCUUAGUUUGUAGCAACGGAAGUAAGCUGGGGACAAAGUGAGAAAAUGGGAGAAGGAGGAAGAAACUGGAACAUUUUAAAAGCAACUUAAAAAGUGGGAUGUUGGAGUAUUAAUCAGGAUAGUUGAAGGACAUGUAAAUUUGAUUCACAUCACAUCAAAUUAUAAGCUACUAUUUUCAUUAAACCAUAUUGUUUAUAGUUUCCUGUAGUAUGCAUUUUAUUAAUUAUUAGCUGGAUUGCUCAGCUUUGAACAACCUUAAAAGAGAGAACAGAAGUUUUGUGACAAUGCACCUUGAAGUCUAACACUUUGAUAUUAUGAUACACCAUUUAUGGGGCAGCACCCACUAUCAGAUGGAUAAAUGUACAGUGAUCCAAGGGGGUAGAUAUAGAUAUAUGUAACCUCAGUGUAUAGAGAAAGAAAAGGAAAAAUAUAUUGAGUGAGUCCAAAAGGAAAGGAAAAGCUUUGUAAAAGGGAGCAAUUAUUAUGUGCAGCGCUAAUGUUUAUAACGUACAAUCAAAGGAAGGGGAAGUGAGUGCCUCUCACUUAAAAGUGAUGAACAGUCAUAACAAGCUGAGUUAUGUCAAUAAAUACCUUGGAAGAGACAAUCCAUCUAUUUAGGAGUAAUGCCUUUUUAAUUUGUGAAAAUCUUGUUUUGCCUAUGUACAAAUGGCAGCAGGGCAGUGUUAGCAGAUGAUAACAUUUGAAGACAAUCCUUCAUUAGCUUGGAGGUAUGUAAAGCUCCACCAUGCACAACCCAGUCUUUACCCAUUCCUGUGCAUGUCCACCUUUCAGCAGCCAGAAUGCUACCAAUCAUGAGUUAUUGCCUAUAGAAGGGCAGGGGAUGCUUGGGCAUUAUCCAGUUAUGUUUCUUUUAGUGGAUGGACAAAGGUGGUCCAUGAGGAUGACUAGUGAAAUAUGGUUGGACGCAACCAUGUCGCCUUCUGAAUCCCCCUGCCAUUAAAUGACUACAGGGGCACUCUUAAAGCAACUGAAAGAUGGGUUGUACAUGCAGAGAUGGUUCCAUAAAGGGCCAUAAAUGAUAACAUGCAAGCAUAACAGGAGCUUACACUGUGUAUGCCACCAACAGGAUUCCAACCAACAUGUUAUAUACCAGGAUCAGAGGUGUAAAAACAAGCAAGCACUCAGUGAUAGUGCAAUAGGCACUCUUUGGAUGUAUAAUUAAUGUUGCCCAAGUAGAUAAAAGGACAGAAUUGAUACUGCAGUAAUUGGUUGUAUCCAACUGUGAAUGUUAUAGGUUCUUUGAUGUGGUAGAAACUUUCAUGAAGAAAAGUGAGAAAGUUAGUUUGAUGCAGGUGUUUCCAUAUUUCUGCCCAUUAUUACAAUUGCUUCUUUGGAACUCUUCAGGGACUGGCAGUGGUCCCUGAACCACCACUUUGAGUAGCACUGCCUUAGAUCAUUCAGCAGAAUCCUUUAUAAUAUUUCAGAGUUCUGUAGUACUGUAUUCGUAAUAUGUUUUCUUGCUGAAUAAGCUGUAGAAAAAAAUUAUAUAAUUCUUAAACAUUUGAGAUUUUGAGAGGCAGUUUUAGAAUCACUCUGCAGGUGAGGGGGGAUCAGGAUAGAGCCUUAGAGGAUAGAAGGCUCUAUAGGAAGAUAUAGAAAUAGAUUUUUGGUGGUAAUUGUGUAAAUAUAGCAGACCAUCACUUUGUGAGCCUUUCAUCAAAAAAUCGAAGAUGCUUUUAUUUCAGCAGAAUUUUAAUACCUAACACUAAGUUUUAUUGCUGCCCAUUUCAGAGAGUAACCUGUUUUAUUCUUGCUGCUUUUAUGCAUUUUUAAAAAGAACUGGUCAUAUUGUACGUACUUUGUUAUUGCUUUUUGAAAUUGGUUCUUAGUUGUACCUUUAUGUAUGUACUAUAUGGUUUGUGCUUACACUCUGUGCAGUUUUGUGUGCAUUUAGAAAUGAAUUGAGACAUAAAUAAUAAACUACUGUUAUUGUAGGCAGAAUCUAUUAAUUCAAUAGAUGGAAGUGUGAACUGAGAGUUAUCACUCUGAACAUCACUUCCUUUUUGGAAUAACAUCAUUAUAUACCAUAAUGAUCAGAGUGAUGUUUUUGUAAUGGCCCUGAUACAGAUGUGGAAGGUCACAGGGAAAUCAAAAUAACUCCCUCAAGCAGGGCCGUAAAUGUCUUUUGACUCACGCUCAGAGUAGCAAUUGGUAUGAGGUAGCAUAUGAACUUCUCUUUCAAUUCUAACUUUCCUGAAUUUAACUGUCAGAGAACAGCUCCAUUCUGAGGCUGCUAUAAUGUAAGUAACAUUUUCUAUACUAAAUUGCAGUACCAGGCUGUUAAGGUUAAAGAAAUAAACAUCAAAAAGCCUUUGCAGUAAUUGUGAAAAACAAUAAUUGCCAUCAGCCACUGAGGUGAGGAUUUCAACCACUUAAAUAAUCUUAUUGGCUAUAAAAUUAGUUGAAAAGUCAAGUACCUAGGUAAAGAAUGACUUCUAAUGUCCAAAUUGAAGGAGCCAAUACAAAGCUUUCUAUAAUGGGCAUUAUAGUCUUUAAACAAUCGUUUUAAGGCAAGGUCUCCAACUCUGAAUAUCGGUUUUGGAACAAUCAACUGAUAAGGGGGAAAAGUAUCAUUGAAAACUCUUUGCAAGCAGGUAGUACAAUAUAGCAGGUAGUUAUCAUUAGAUUAAGAAACAGUUUGUGCCUGAUCACACAAGUGUGUUUUGGAGCAAGGUGGCAAACAAUGAUUUUAUAUGGAAUGUUAACGCUUCACACGGAUGAGGAAGGAUGAGUGCAGACACUGGAAAAUCUGACUUCCACCUCUGUAGGGUAUGGAAUAACAAUGCUAAAGACUUCUAAUCAGCAUGCAA